rnacentral:lncRNA from 1 species
AAGAGUGUCCUGUGCCCCAUAAAAUCCACAGCCUGAGAAGUAAGCCUUGUCGCCGGAUAUCCUAAACGCCGCCGCUUGCCACCCUUGCAUUCCUGGUAGUGGUGCUGGCGCUGUGUUCUACGUAAACAUUACCAUAUGUUCUACUUUUAACUUAUUGCAAUUCAAUUUCGCAGAGAAGAAAUGUGACAUGCCAUGCAUCGUCGCAGUUAGCUAAUACAUUUUUAUGGAAUAAGUUAGAAUACUAACGCCAGUGUGUACUUUCAUCUUUGUACAAUUAUUUAAGUUUGAUUUUAGUCAUAUACCUUGAAGCUAAUAUUCCGAGCAGAGAAAUAAUUAGCAAAAACAGUUACAGAAGCUGUCUGGUAAGUGCGGAGCUGCUGGCCAUUAGCCCCACGAUCACAUGCUCGAUCAUGCCACUCGAUCACCGUCCGAUCCCUCCCUGCACCUUGAAACGUGAUGUACGGUUUCGACACUGGCACCGUCACCUUCUCUCUGCACCGCAUCCACCAUAUCAGAACUCACAACUCAUUACGUGCAGUAACACACCACUAAUUUUCGUAAGAUUGUUAUUAAUAUUAUUAUUGGUCUUACAUGUAACAACCUGCGCUAAUUUGAAUAAGCACGUUCAUUCUGUUUCUUUCAGGGACGGAAUCAACGGCAGCUUGGACCGAUUUGAACUCGCCGGACCCAUUAACAUCAACGGUGAUUACACGGUGGCCGACGGGUCCAAUCCACUUGGGAUGAUGCUUAGUAGAAUUUGCAGCUUGAGCUGUGGCUGAGAUCGUAACCUGA